rnacentral:tRNA from 1 species
GCCUGGGUGGCUCAGUCAGUUGAGCAUCUGCCUUUGGCGCAGGGCGUGACCCCGGGGUCCUGGGAUCGAGUCCCACAUCGGGCU